UGGGGAAUAUUGGACAAUGGGGGCAACCCUGAUCCAGCAAUGCCGCGUGUGUGAAGAAGGUCUUCGGAUUGUAAAGCACUUUCGACGGGGACGAUGAUGACGGUACCCGUAGAAGAAGCCCCGGCUAACUUCGUGCUAGCAGCCGCGGUAAUACGAAGGGGGCUAGCGUUGCUCGGAAUGACUGGGCGUAAAGGGCGUGUAGGCGGUUUACACAGUCAGAUGUGAAAUCCCCGGGCUUAACCUGGGAGCUGCAUUUGAUACGUGUAGACUAGAGUGUGAGAGAGGGUUGUGGAAUUCCCAGUGUAGAGGUGAAAUUCGUAGAUAUUGGGAAGAACACCGGUGGCGAAGGCGGCAACCUGGCUCAUGACUGACGCUGAGGCGCGAAAGCGUGGGGAGCAAACAGGAUUAGAUACCCUGGUAGUCCACGCUGUAAACGAUGUGUGCUAGAUGUUGGGUAACUUUGUUAUUCAGUGUCGCAGUUAACGCGUUAAGCACACCGCCUGGGGAGUACGGCCGCAAGGUUGAAAC
rnacentral:rRNA from 1 species